UACCAUUUGACAGCCUAUCUUAUCAUGUGUACUCUCUUUACAUUACAGUUGUUUAUUAGUUUACUCAUUUGUUUUGCAACUUAUGAAAUGCCGGUGUAUAUAUAUUUUCAACAUUUGACAUAACCCUGUAUGUUUUGUAGGGACAGCCCAGGACGUGCAUUUCUCAGCACCCAGUCAACUGCCAGAAGUGACUCGAACACAGGUCACCAGUGGCACUCGGCUGUACCACUGCAGAGCUGCAGAAAUUGCCAGCACCAGCGGCUUUGCAACAGCUGUUUCACAGCAUGUCGGAGACAAUGCCUACGAAAUUAUUGGCCCUGAUGACGAGAGCCCUCAAGGGGCAAACGACAUCUCUGUUGCAGAAGUGAGCCCGAUACCACCUGAAGUUACCAUGACAGGUGGCACGGUAGCAAUAGAUACAGAGGCGGCCAUGUCUACUGCAGCUGCAACAGUGUACGAGGCAAGCAGCAGUGUGUCAGCAUCAGCAGCAGUGUCAGAAGGAACCGCACCAGGCCUGGUAGAGCAACAUGUGUGCUAUCACUGUGACUUUUUUUGUAGUGCAUACAACUCAUUUGCUCAACAUACAAAAGCUUUUCACCACGACUGUGAGCCAGUGUUCUUGUGCAGCAAGUGCAAGACUAAGUUAAGUGUUAUAACACAGUACAAGCAUCACUUUAAGAUAUGAAAACAUAUUACAGUUGUUGCCUCCCCAGCCA
rnacentral:lncRNA from 1 species